AGACGUGGCCGACGCGGGUCAAAGUGUAGCAUCCGUUCUUAUCAGCUUAAUAUCUGAUGCGGCUUGUAUUUGGACCGAAGAUAUCAAACUUAUGUUUGCAAGUUGGCGGAGUGCUUGAAAUCUGCUUAACCUCCGCCGUGGGUCGCCUGGUAUUGCAGUAUCCUCGGGCUUUUUGGCCUACGGACA